rnacentral:tRNA from 1 species
CAAAAAAUAGUUUAAAAGAUAGUAAUACUAGCUUUGGGAGCUAGUGGUGGGAGUUUAAGUCUCUCUUUUUUGG